UACGAGGGGGGCGAGCGUUGUUCGGAAUUAUUGGGCGUAAAGGGUGCGUAGGCGGGUCUUUAAGUCAGGGGUGAAAUCCUGGAGCUCAACUCCAGAACUGCCUUUGAUACUGAGGAUCUUGAGUUCGGAAGAGGUGAGUGGAACUCCUAGUGUAGAGGUGGAAUUCGUAGAUAUUAGGAAGAACACCAGUGGCGAAGGCGACUCACUGGUCCGGUACUGACGCUGAGGUGCGAAAGCGUGGGGAGCAAACAGG
rnacentral:rRNA from 1 species